rnacentral:lncRNA from 1 species
UCCAUUUUGAGUAUGCAUGCUCUCUUUCUUUUAGAUCAGUUGUGCUGGGGGAACUAAGCUACCGUGUUAUAAGCAGACCUAUUGUGUGGACAGGAACUAAAGCCUGCCAAAUACCGUGUGCGUGAGUCUGAAAACGGACCUUUCAGCCCCUGUCGAGUCUUGAGAUGACAGCAGCCCCAGCUGAAUGCUUGACUGCAACCUCAUGAGAGAACUUGAGGCAAUUCUAACCAGCUAAGCUGCUCCCAGAUUUCUGACCCUCCAAAACUGAUCUGCAGGGUACCAAGUUAUCUGCUAGAAGGCCCAGGCCUUCUCUUCUU